rnacentral:rRNA from 1 species
UACGUAGGGUGCGAGCGUUAAUCGGAAUUACUGGGCGUAAAGCGUGCGCAGGCGGUUCGCUAAGACAGAUGUGAAAUCCCCGGGCUUAACCUGGGAACUGCAUUUGUGACUGGCGGGCUAGAGUAUGGCAGAGGGGGGUAGAAUUCCACGUGUAGCAGUGAAAUGCGUAGAGAUGUGGAGGAAUACCGAUGGCGAAGGCAGCCUCCUGGGCCAACACUGACGCUCAUGCACGAAAGCGUGGGGAGCAAACAGG